rnacentral:lncRNA from 1 species
CCUCCAAUAAGCUCGAGGCUUAUCCAGCUCCUCUCCUCUCUGACCUUCUGAAGGAGCAACUCUUAUUUAACGUCGGCCUGAGCCCUUUCAACCCUGUCGAUAUUUUAUUAUUAUUAUUAUUAUUUUUUAUUUGCUACUUCUUCUUUUCCUUAUUCUAUUUCUAAGCCAUAUCAAUCUUCUUUCAUUACAGAUAUGGACGC